rnacentral:tRNA from 1 species
CAGAAUGUAGCUUAUAUUUUAAAGUUAUUUAUUUACAUUAAAUUGAAAAUUGUUUAUUCUUUCUGA